CUCUCAUGCCUUACAAUCUAACUGAAGUCCUGUAGUUCUAACAUUGCAGAACUUCUGCAAAAAUAACAAAAUCUUUUACAGUGGCUCUGAAAAGUAAUGGUAUUGGCAGAGCUGUUUCCGUACUUCAGGCAUCUGGUGAGGUCACUGCGGCCCUCACUCUCGUGAGAACAACGAGUUUUUCCAGUCCCGAGUUAGCAAUGUGUGGGCUGACAUCUCAGCAGGUUGGCACUUCUCCUGAUCUGAAAUCUUCAGUGUAUCUGCACAGAGUAAAAACAAAGUAAUUUCUAAAUGAGAAAACUGACUGUACUGAGAACACAGAACAUCAUUCUGGAACACACUACAGAAAUAUUAUUUAAGAAUUAAAGUGAUGUUCUUUGCUAUGAACAGAGAUGGCCUCAAUAAAUGUUCUGUGGAAACAAUUUGCUUUAGACACAGCUGGCUGAAACACUAAAACACACGUUUCUAAUAGUCUGAAUUGCUGUCUGUUCCAUAUACACAUGCCAUUUCUCUUUCUUGCUCUCUCUCUUUAUUUGUAUUCCCUAUUUACUGAAGAGAAAAUAAUCAAAAGGGUUGAGUAUAAAAGUCAAUAUUUGUGCAUGCUAGAAAGAAUUUGACUAAAAAAUCCAAGAUGAUAAUUGUACUGAAUUCAAUAUCUGAGAAAUAGCUGUAUUUCAAUAGUAGAGAUUCCCAUCAAUCCAAAUUCAGUUCACAUCAUAGCAAAGCAUAGCUGUUUAUUUAAAGAUCUCAGACACACAGUGAGAGGUUAGCACCUUAACAGUGCCAUAUGAAUGUGAAUAUUUAAUCUUAUAAAUCCUCAUCACCCCACAUUACUAAUACAUUCAUUAGCAAUGAUUUUCACAAAUGCCAUUGCUUUGUUGAGGUUUUGAUACUUUUCCAAAUGAGGCAGAUUAUUUUUAAAUAUCACGAGGUGUUUUUACAGUGACCCACUUCUGGGUUUUGAUGUCUAAAUCAAACAUUUUGAUCAAACAGAACCCAAAACUUCCGAUCCCAAUACACAGAGCAACCAGAAUAUUAGAAAACAUAACAGAAAAGAAAAAUAAUGACAAUAAGAAGAGUAAUGCUUAUAAAAUGUUUUACCUUCUACACAAGCUAGUUCUUGUUCUUCUGUUCAACCAACUUAAAGUUCAGUUUAAAAUAAAAUUCUGAAUCAGUAAGUUGUACUGUAAGCCAAAGCUAACAACAUCUUUGGUGACUCAACAUUAAAAUUAAUUGUAUUACUUUGAACUACCUUUCACUGUAGGCGGAGUUCUGGUAAUUGAGCCAAAGACAGCAAUUAAACUUUGAGCAGAAAAUCACAGGCAAUAUCUUUGUCAAGUUGAACUGGAUGUAGACAAAUAUUCCCACUUGCUCUGUUCAUCCUUUCCUUUAAAUUGAACCAAACUUGAUAGAGUUGGUUGAAUAGUCUGUAUUUAUAAGUAAAACAAGACAACAGACUUUGGUUUGCUGACUCAAACACAGACAGCCUCUCUGUGCUUUUUAUUUGCUUUGGAAGGACCUGUAUUUGCAUGGAAGGACCUGUAGCCACUGCCUACAAAUCCUAACUGAUCACAAAGCAAUUCCACUGUUUUGAGUGUCUUUGUUGUAUCCCUGAAUCUUACUCCCAGAUAAACUGAAAAAAAAAGGAACUGAAGUUUUAUGAAGAUGAAAUGUUUAGUGAGAUAAAGUAAUACCUAUCUCAAUCUGAUUAAUGUACUUCAUUCAGUAAGGAAAAUGAUCUUACUGCGUGGAAGUAUAAGCAUGAAUAGAUGCAACGUGGUUUCCAUAAUACUGUGUACCUGCAUGACAUACUGUAAUGUAUUUAUUUCAGCUUGUGUAAUUUAUACUAUGAAUAAGAGAAGAAACAAGUCCGUUACACUGAAAAGCAUUGCAGAUGGUAUGAACAGGAACACAGGAAGGAGUCAUUAUCCCACUCCACUCAGCAUUCACUACACCACAUUUAGAAUGCUGCGUUCAGUAUUAGGGAGCCCAGAAUAAGAAAAACCUUGAACUGGGGUGAGGUCAGCACUCCUCGACCACUAUGAUGGUGAAGUGUGGCCGAGGGAGCAGGAAAGACUUGUUCAGCCUGGUGAGAUACAGCUUUGGAAGUACUUAACAGCAGCCUUCCAGCAUUUCCAAGAGGCUACCAAGGGGAUGGAGGCAAGCUCUUCACAGGGGUGCCUGGUGGAUCCGCAAGUACAGUGUACAUAAGCAGAAAUAAACAGGGCCUUUCCAGACAUGAGGACAGUCAAGCAGUCUCCAAACUUGGAGAGUUUCAUGCCCAGACUAGGUGUAGUCCUGGGCAACCUGAACUGAUCUCAUGGCUGACCGUGGAAGUCUGGAUUACAUCACCUCCUGAGAUCCCCUCCAACCUGAAUUAUUCUGUAAAUCUAUAAAACAUAAUAAAUCAUAUAAAAC
ensembl:lncRNA